ACUCCUACGGGAGGCAGCAGUGGGGGAAUAUUGCACAAUGGGCGCAAGCCUGAUGCAGCAACGCCGUGUGAGUGAAGAAGGUUUUCGGAUCGUAAAACUCUGUCCUAAGGGAAGAAAAAAAUGACGGUACCUUAGGAGGAAGCCCCGGCUAACUACGUGCCAGCAGCCGCGGUAAUACGUAGGGGGCAAGCGUUAUCCGGAAUCACUGGGCGUAAAGGGUGCGUAGGCGGCUUAGCAAGCCAGGGUGAAAGGCAUUGGCUCAACCAAUGUAAGCCUUUGGAACUGUUAAAGCUUGAGUGCAGGAGAGGUAAGUGGAAUUCCUAGUGUAGAGGUGAAAUUCGUAGAUAUUAGGAGGAACACCGAGUGGCGAAGGCGACUUACUGGACUGUAACUGACGCUGAUGCACG
rnacentral:rRNA from 1 species